UACGUAGGGUGCGAGCGUUGUCCGGAAUUAUUGGGCGUAAAGAGCUUGUAGGCGGUUUGUCGCGUCUGCCGUGAAAAUUCGAGGCUCAACCUCGAACUUGCGGUGGGUACGGGCAGACUAGAGUGUGGUAGGGGAGACUGGAAUUCCUGGUGUAGCGGUGAAAUGCGCAGAUAUCAGGAGGAACACCGGUGGCGAAGGCGGUGGGCUGGGCCGGCACUGACGCUGAGGAGCGAAAGCGUGGGGAGCGAACAGG
rnacentral:rRNA from 1 species